GUGAGGAAUAUUGCGCAAUGGAGGCAACUCUGACGCAGCCAUGCCGCGUGCAGGAAGAAGGCGCUACGCGUUGUAAACUGCUUUUAACCGGGAAGAAACCCCAGGACGUGUCCUGGGUUGACGGUACCGGAGGAAUAAGCACCGGCUAACUUCGUGCCAGCAGCCGCGGUAAUACGAAGGGUGCAAGCGUUAUCCGGAUUCAUUGGGUUUAAAGGGUGCGUAGGCGGAGCGUUAAGUCAGUGGUGAAAUCCUGCAGCUUAACUGUAGACUUGCCAUUGAUACUGGCGCUCUUGAGUGCGCUUGAAGUGGGCGGAAUGUGCCGUGUAGCGGUGAAAUGCUUAGAUAUGGCACAGAACACCAAUUGCGAAGGCAGCUCACUAAGACGAUACUGACGCUGAGGCACGAAAGCGUGGGGAUCGAACAGGAUUAGAAACCCGGGUAGUCC
rnacentral:rRNA from 1 species